UGUAUACUCAUUGGGUUGAGAUGAACCCAAUGCUGAACCCAAUGGAAAUCCCCAAACCUUCAUUAGAUUAGUGUAUUUACCUUGUUUAUUAGUAUUAGAUUACAAUGAAUCCAAUAGGGUGAACCCAAUGGCAUUCUGCUCUACCUUCGCCACUGCAUCUCCAGCUCCAGCUCAAGCAAUCCAUGGUGGCAUGAAAGGGAGAGCACACCACACCGAAGCGGCAAGCAGGAUUAUUCAGGCCCCGCGUCUGCAUCUGCAUCUGCUUGGCCGCAUCCAUGUCGAUCCAGCCGGAUAGCAGCGUCCAUUUCCCCGGUCAAGAAGUGGUCCGGCCUCGAUCAGCAAAAAGACCAAGAAAAGCUCUUGCUCGCUGCUCACCGUUGUCAGUGAGUGCGUGGCCAGUGAUCAGUCACCAAUGUGCUUUGCUUAGGCUUGUGUGUUGUUCAGACAAUGCCAUGGCCACUUAAUUAUUACCCCCCGGCUAGUAGCAUUUGUGCUUGAAGAGACAUCAAAUGGGGAUUCAGGUGUUGUUGGUUAAUUGCUCUGUCUAGACAAAAGAGAGUUUUAUUUGUUAUUGAUCUAUUUAUUACUACACAGCUUCAA